CAACAAUAUUCAACAGAUGAUCUGAACUCUGAAAGCCAAAAUUUCAUCUCCAUCCAUCACUCACUAAAGACUGAGACCCUCGCAUAUACCUACUAGUAAAUAAGUUAAUUUCUCAGCUAGGCCUCUAUUUUUAUCGGUUGCUCUUGAAACCUGCUACACCAUGGUCACCGUAAAGUCUGCUCCACCAUCAUUCAGAAAAUCCAGUGGUAGAUUCCAAGCCCCCUAUGCAUAGUGGAGCCUGUGCACAGGAGAAGCCUGGAUUCCAGGGUAACUGCACCUACUGGAGAACCACCGUUCACACUGGUAUGACAUGAGCAAGAAAUAACUCUAUAGUUAGAAGCCACGAAGAAUUUGAGGUUCUUUCAGCAGUGAGCUCUUUCCUGACUAAUCUGACAUUGUGUAAAUUUGAAUGUUGAGAUACUUUGGUAGAAUUAUCAUAGGAGAUCAUUGCAUUUCUAAAAAAUCUUUUGGAUCAAAGACAAAGUCACUGUUUUUCCCC